UCUGAUUGUCAUAAGCUUUAUCGUUGUACCAAUUUGCAAAAGCAUUUGGGUUUUUUGCUUGCCUUGUUGUUUUAUAGUUUUCCAACUCCUGAACAACAUAGGCCAAUGAAAACCUGGACAAU
rnacentral:snoRNA from 1 species